ACUGACUGUCUAGUAUAAGCAUCUAUACUGUGAAACUGCGAAUGGCUCAUUAAAUCAGUUAUCGUUUAUUUGAUAGUACCUUACUACUUGGAUAACCGUGGUAAUUCUAGAGCUAAUACAUGCUAAAAACCCCGACUUCGGGAGGGGUGUAUUUAUUAGAUAAAAAACCAAUGCCCUUCGGGGCUCUUUGGUGAUUCAUGAUAACUUAACGAAUCGCAUGGCCUUGCGCCGGCGAUGGUUCAUUCAAAUUUCUGCCCUAUUAACUUUCGAUGGUAGGAUAGAGGCCUACCAUGGUAUCAAUGGGUAACGGGGAAUUAGGGUUCUAUUCCGGAGAGGGAGCCUGAGAAACGGCUACCACAUCCAAGGAAGGCAGCAGGCGCGCAAAUUACCCAAUCCCGACACGGGGAGGUAGUGACAAUAAAUACUGAUACAGGGCUCUUUUGGGUCUUGUAAUUGGAAUGAGUACAAUUUAAAUACCUUAACGAGGAACAAUUGGAGGGCAAGUCUGGUGCCAGCAGCCGCGGUAAUUCCAGCUCCAAUAGCGUAUAUUAAAGUUGUUGCAGUUAAAAAGCUCGUAGUUGAACCUUGGGCCUGGCUGGCCGGUCCGCCUCACCGCGUGUACUGGUCCGGCCGGGCCUUUCCUUCUGGGGAUCCGCAUGGCCUUCACUGGCUGUGUCGGGGAACCAGGACUUUUACUUUGAAAAAAUUAGAGUGUUCAAAGCAGGCCUUUGCUCGAAUACAUUAGCAUGGAAUAAUAGAAUAGGACGUGCGGUCCUAUUUUGUUGGUUUCUAGGACCGCCGUAAUGAUUAAUAGGGAUAGUCGGGGGCAUCAGUAUUCAAUUGUCAGAGGUGAAAUUCUUGGAUUUAUUGAAGACUAACUACUGCGAAAGCAUUUGCCAAGGAUGUUUUCAUUAAUCAGUGAACGAAAGUUAGGGGAUCGAAGACGAUCAGAUACCGUCGUAGUCUUAACCGUAAACUAUGCCGACUAGGGAUCGGGCGAUGUUAUUCUUUUGACUCGCUCGGCACCUUACGAGAAAUCAAAGUCUUUGGGUCUGGGGGAGUAGUCGC
rnacentral:rRNA from 1 species